AGCAGCCGCGGUAAUUCCAGCUCCAAUAGCGUAUAUUAAAGUUGUUGCAGUUAAAAAGCUCGUAGUUGAAUUUCGGGGUUAGUAGGUUGGUCAUGCCUCCGGUAUGUACUGGUCUCACUGAUUCCUCCUUCCUGAUGAACCGUAAUGCCAUUAAUUUGGUGUUGCGGGGAAUUUGGACUGUUACUUUGAAAAAUUAGAGUGUUUAAAGCAAGCUAACGCUUGAAUACAUUAGCAUGGAAUAAUGAAAUAGGACGUUCGAUCCUAUUUUGUUGGUUUCUAGGGUUGACGUAAUGAUUAAUAGGGAUAGUUGGGGGCAUUAGUAUUCAAUUGUCAGAGGUGAAAUUCUUGGAUUUAUUGAAGACUAACUACUGCGAAAGCAUUUGCCAAGGAUGUUUUCAUUAAUCAAGAACGAAAGUUAGGGGAUCGAAGACGAUCAGAUACCGUCGUAGUCUUAACCAUAAACUAUGCCGACUAGGGAUCGGAUGAUGUAAUUUUUUAAUGACUCAUUCGGCGCCUUACG
rnacentral:rRNA from 1 species